CGGCGCGGAUGCCGGUGGUUGAAACGCAGGCAGUGUCUAGCUCUUAUAUUUAUAAAAUAGAUAACAGAUAGAGAAAU
rnacentral:sRNA from 1 species